GCCAGGACAAGAACCUCCUACACCAGCUUAAUAGCAACAUCAGUAAAUAAGAUUAGCUGGGGGUCAGAGAGAGUCAGCAGCGGAGGAAGGAGACUUCCAAUCUGAGGAACGGCCAGGUGCACCAAAGGAAAUGGAGACAUGGAGACAAGCAUUUAUUCUCGACAAGAACCGAAGGGGAUCUUUUAUCAUGGUGAGUCCCCAUAUCUCCCUGUUCCACCCUUAUGGUGAGGAGGGACUUAAGUCUGAUACUAAAGAAAAGGCUUUGGAGACUGGGAGAUGGAGACGACGUGUGGGAACUGAGGACCACAGAAUGAAGAACCAGAGUUCUCAAAAUGUAGCUGGAAGAGUUAAAGCCUUUCUAUGGUCAGUCCUCGGGAAUUUUGCAUUGAGAAAGGACUCUGAAGGGUAGGAGAAUAACUCUGACAUUGCAAACAUGGGGCUGGGGAGGUUGACCCCUCGCAGUCCUGGAUUACAAAGCAGCUGAAACCAAACAGGAAGGAGGACACAUCUAUAACCCACUGGAAUGCAGGGCCUUGACUGGCACUCUAUGCUCCUGGGGCAAGUCUGCACCCCCAAUAUAUUAGGACUUGAAACAAGGACAAGACCUGUGGGUGGGACAUAGAUGAUGGGCCUGUUCCAUCCCCCUACCUUCAAAGCCCCAGCUACACAGAAUGACCUGGAACCGGGGCUUGCACCCCAAAAAUGGAGGGGUGUGGGUUAAAGUGAAUAACAAGAGGUACAACCCA
rnacentral:sRNA from 1 species